rnacentral:snRNA from 1 species
GCACUUGUUUUGGCAGUACUUAUACCACAACUGGAAUGAUACAGAAAAGAUUACUGUGGCUCUAAUGCAAGGAGGAGAGACAAAUUUAUAAAGUAUUUUAUAUAUAU